AAGGUGCUGCAGUGGUUGUCGUCAGCUCGUGUCGUGAGAUGUUGGGUUAAGUCCCGUAACGAGCGCAACCCUUGUCCUUAGUUACCAGCACGUUAUGGUGGGCACUCUAAGGAGACUGCCGGUGACAAACCGGAGGAAGGUGGGGAUGACGUCAAGUCAUCAUGGCCCUUACGGCCUGGGCUACACACGUGCUACAAUGGUCGGUACAAAGGGUUGCCAAGCCGCGAGGUGGAGCUAAUCCCAUAAAACCGAUCGUAGUCCGGAUCGCAGUCUGCAACUCGACUGCGUGAAGUCGGAAUCGCUAGUAAUCGUGAAUCAGAAUGUCACGGUGAAUACGUUCCCGGGCCUU
rnacentral:rRNA from 1 species